UUAAACGUCCAGAUUCCUUACUUGGAGCUGUAGAAACUUUAGUGAACCAGUCACAAGUGAAUGCCAUUGCUGUUGUUGGAAGUUUUCCGGAUGAUGAUAUUGAAGAAGUGGAUUACUACUGGCUGGGAAUGGGAAUAGACAAUUUGGCCGGUGUUGAGGCAGUUAUUAGCCAUCUGGUUGUUAGGACUUUUCAACGUGCACAAGUCUCCUUUUCCCCUUAGCCCGUCUCUAUGCCCAAAAUCAGCUGCCAAGGAGCUAGGAUAUACAUUCCUUCCGUGUGUGCUUGCUGGCCUCAGUAAGGCUCCACAAUACUUGGUGAAGAACUCUGAAUCCAUGGAGAGAGGCUGCAUAUUGGCAAGCGAUGUGGAUUCUGUUAUCCUUCCUAAAGAUGCAUGUGGAGGGGAUGGGGCUCUUGCUUUUGCCAGAAGUGGAAAAAACAAGCCUCUUAUAAUCACUGUGGAAGAAAAUGAAACUGUGCUGAAUGAUACCCCAGAUAAACUUGGUAUUGAAGCGCUUCGGGUCUCAAACUAUUGGGAAGCCAUUUGAGUAGUUGCAGCUCACAAGGCAGGGGUUGAUCCAUUCUCUCUUAGAAGAGAUAAAAUUUCUAAUAUCCGCUGCAAGUCUGUGCCUGUCAAUGGUUACUCUCUUUCAAGAGAAAGAACUUUUGCUUGAUUAAACAAUUUUAGUUUAAUUUUUUUUUUGUUACAAUUGAAGUUUAAUUGAUUAUACAUAUACACAUUC